rnacentral:misc_RNA from 1 species
AAUUCAUCCCAUUCACUCACCCGUCCAUCGUAAUGGAAUAAAAGGACUGUAAAGUUCUCUGAAAACUUUUUAACAUUUGCAUCAAUAUUUUUCCUCUGAUCAUAACCAANNNNNNNNNNUUUGGAGUGCUGGUCAAGUCCUCGCUAGGCUUACCCCACAAUCUACGUAAAUAGAAAUCUGACUCAGCCGCAAUUAUUCCUGGCGGCAGUCUUUCUGCACCACGGGGAUUUGA